CCUACGGGAUGCAGCAGUGGGGAAUAUUGCACAAUGGGGGAAACUCUGAUGCAGCGACGCCGCGUGAGUGAAGAAGUAUUUCGGUACGUAAAGCUCUAUCAGCAGGGAAGAAAAUGACGGUACCUGACUAAGAAGCCCCGGCGAACUACGUGCCAGCAGCCGCGGUUAUACGUAGGGGGCAAGCGUUAUCCGGAUUUACUGGGUGUAAAGGGAGCGUAGACGGCUGCGCAAGUCUGGAGUGAAAUUCCAUGGCUUAACCGUGGAACUGCUAUGGAAACUGUGCAGCUAGAGUGCAGGUGAGGUAAGCGGAAUUCCUAGUGUAGCGGUGAAAUGCGUAGAUAUUACGAGGAACAC
rnacentral:rRNA from 1 species